rnacentral:rRNA from 1 species
AGAGUUUGAUCCUGGCUCAGGACGAACGCUGGCGGCGUGCCUAAUACAUGCAAGUCGAGCGAAUCUUUGGAGUGCUCCUGAGAUUAGCGGCGGACGGGUGAGUAACACGUGGGCAACCUGCCUGUAAGACUGGGAUAACUUCGGGAAACCGGAGCUAAUACCGGAUAAUUCUUUUCCUCACAUGAGGAAAAGCUGAAAGA